rnacentral:rRNA from 1 species
UCCUACGGGAGGCAGCAGUGAGGAAUAUUGGUCAAUGGAGGAAACUCUGAACCAGCCAUGCCGCGUGAAGGAUGACGGCCCUAUGGGUUGUAAACUUCUUUUAUAUGGGAAGAAACUUAUCUACGUGUAGAUAACUGACGGUACCAUACGAAUAAGGAUCGGCUAACUCCGUGCCAGCAGCCGUGGUAAU